rnacentral:rRNA from 1 species
AACGAACGCUGGCGGCAGGCUUAACACAUGCAAGUCGAACGCCCCGCCAGGGGAGUGGCAGACGGGUGAGUAACGCGUGGGAACAUACCCUUUUCUACGGAAUAGCUCUGGGAAACUGGAAUUAAUACCGUAUACGCCCUACGGGGGAAAGAUUUAUCGGGGAAGGAUUGGCCCGCGUUGGAUUAGCUAGUUGGUGGGGUAAAGGCCUACCAAGGCGACGAUCCAUAGCUGGUCUGAGAGGAUGAUCAGCCACAUUGGGACUGAGACACGGCCCAAACUCCUACGGGAGGCAGCAGUGGGGAAUAUUGGAAAAUGGGCGCAAGCCUGAUCCAGCCAUGGCGCGUGAGUGAUGAAGGCCUUAGGGUUGUAAAGCUCUUUCACCGAUGAAGAUAAUGACGGUAGUCGGAGAAGAAGCCCCGGCUAACUUCGUG